rnacentral:rRNA from 1 species
UGGGGAAUAUUGCACAAUGGACGGAAGUCUGAUGCAGCAACGCCGCGUGCGGGAUGACGGCCUUCGGGUUGUAAACCGCUUUUUCUCAUGACGAAGUUUUUUGACGGUAGUGGGGGAAGAAGCACCGGCUAACUACGUGCCAGCAGCCGCGGUGAUACGUAGGGUGCGAGCGUUGUCCGGAAUUAUUGGGCGUAAAGAGCGUGUAGGCGGUUUGUCGCGUCGAUAGUGCAAACUCAGUGCUUAACGCUGAGCCUGCUGUUGAUACGGGCAGACUAGAGGAAGGUAGGGGAGAAUGGAAUUCCCGGUGGAGCGGUGGAAUGCGCAGAUAUCGGGAGGAACACCGGUGGCGAAGGCGGUUCUCUGGGCCUUUCCUGACGCUGAGAAGCGAAAGCGUGAGGAGCGAACAGG